GAUUAGAAAGCGAAAUAAUCGCAUUUAGUUUCGGCCUAAACUUUGGUAUUUUUACCUCUAAUCU
rnacentral:tRNA from 1 species